UACGGAGGAUGCAAGCGUUAUCCGGAAUGAUUGGUCGUAAAGCGUCCGCAGGUGGCUGUGUAAGUCUGCUGUCAAAGAGCAAAGCUCAACUUUGUAAAGGCAGUGGAAACUACACGGCUAGAGUGCGUUCGGGGCAGAGGGAAUUCCUGGUGUAGCGGUGAAAUGCGUAGAGAUCAGGAAGAACACCAAAGGCGAAGGCAGCGUUCUGGGAAGCAACUGACGCUCAUGUGCGAAAGCUAGGGGAGCGAACGGG
rnacentral:rRNA from 1 species